rnacentral:rRNA from 1 species
UACGUAGGGGGCUAGCGUUGUCCGGAUUUAUUGGGCGUAAAGAGCGUGUAGGCGGCCAGGUAGGUCUGGUGUGAAAACUCGAGGCUUAACCUUGAGAUGUCAUCGGAAACCAUUUGGCUAGAGUCCGGAAGAGGAAAGUGGAAUUCCUGGUGUAGCGGUGAAAUGCGCAGAUAUCAGGAAGAACACCAAUGGCGAAAGCAGCUCUCUGGGACGGUACUGACGCUGAGACGCGAAAGCGUGGGGAGCGAACAGG